UCGGGAGCUAAGGCGAGGCCGCGAGGCGUAGUCGAUGCACAACUGGUUGAUAUUCCAGUACCACCGUGUUCGCGUCAAGCCCAAUAUUGGCGACGUCGAGGCUGUCUUCGGACGAGUCGGCCUAGCUGGUUGCGGGUAGCUGAUGGGGGACGCAGGAGGGUAAGUGAACCGGGGCGAUGGUAGUCCCCGGGUAAGCGUGUAGGAGGGUCCGAUGAAAGUUUGACCGUUAACUCUGAGACGUGAUGCCGAUCCGCUUCAGGAGAAGUCACUGAUCCCAUGCUGUCAAGAAAAGCCCAGCAGUUAGUUAGCACGGUGCCCGUACCCCAAACCGACACAGGUGGGCGGGUAGAGAAUACCAAGGCGAUCGGGAGAACUGUAGUUAAGGAACUCGGCAAAUUACCUCCGUAACUUCGGAAGAAGGAGGACCCUAUUAAGGUGAAGGCCGUACGGCUGGAGCCCCAGGGGGUGGCACAAACUAGGGGGUAGCGACUGUUUACCAAAAACACAGCAGCGUGCGAAGCCGCAAGGCGCUGUAUACGCUGUGACGCCUGCCCAAUGCUGGAAGGUCACGGGGAAUGGUUAGUCGCAAGGCGAAGCUAUGAACCUAAGCCCCAGUGAAUGGCGGCGGUAACUAUAACCGUCCUAAGGUAGCGAAAUUCCUUGUCAGGUAAGUUCUGACCUGCACGAAUGGCGUAACGACCUCCCCACUGUCUCAACUACAGACCCGGCGAAAUUGAAGUACGAGUAAAGAUGCUCGUUUGCUGCGGAAGGACGGAAAGACCCCGUGGACCUUUACUAUAACUUGAUGUUGGAUUUUGACCUGUGUUGUGUAGGAUAGGUGGGAGACUAGGAAGCUGUGGCGCUAGCCAUGGUGGAGUCAACGUUGAAAUACCACCCUGCAUAUGUCGGGAUUCUAACCUGGGUCCAUUAUCUGGAUCAGGAACAGCGUCAGGCGGGUAGUUUGACUGGGGCGGUCGCCUCCUAAAUAGUAACGGAGGCGCCCAAAGGUUCUCUCAGGCUGGUUGGUAAUCAGCCGUCGAGUGCAAUGACACAAGAGAGCUUGACUGCGAGACUGACAGGUCGAGCAGGUGCGAAAGCAGGGCAUAGUGACCCGGCCAUCACAUGUGGAAGUGUGGUCGCUCAACGGAUAAAAGGUACCCCGGGGAUAACAGGCUAAUCUUUCCCAAGAGUCCAUAUCGACGGAAAGGUUUGGCACCUCGAUGUCGGCUCAUCGCAUCCUGGGGCUGAAGCAGGUCCCAAGGGUUGGGCUGUUCGCCCAUUAAAGCGGUACGCGAGCUGGGUUUAAAACGUCGUGAGACAGUUUGGUCCCUAUCCUCCGCAGCCGAAGGAAUAUUGAGGAAGGCUAUCCCUAGUACGAGAGGACCGGGAUGGACGGAGCUCUAGUGUGUCUGUUGUCCUGCCAAGGGCAU
rnacentral:rRNA from 1 species